AAAGAUUAAGCCAUGCAUGUCUCAGUAYAUACCUUAGCACGGUGAAACCGCGAAUGGCUCAUUAAAUCAGUUAUGGUUCCUUAGAUSGUUCAUACUACAUGGAUAACUGUGGUAAUUCUACAGCUAAUACAUGCAAAAAGCUCCGACCGUAUGGGAAGAGCGCUUUUAUUARACCAAAACCAAUGGGGUCGCAAGAUCCCUUUGUAUGGUGACUCUGGAUAACUUUGUGCUGAUCGCAUGGCCUAGAGCCGGCGACGUAUCUUUCAAGUGUCUGCCCUAUCAACUUUCGAUGGUAAGCGAUUUGCCUACCAUGGUUGUAACGGGUAACGGGGAAUCAGGGUUCGAUUCCGGAGAGGGAGCAUGAGAAACGGCUACCACAUCUACGGAAGGCAGCAGGCGCGCAAAUUACCCACUCCUARAACGGGGAGGUAGUGACGAAAAAUAACAAUACCGGACUCAAUGAGGCUCGGUAAUUGAAAUGAGUACAGUUUAAAACCCUUAACGAGGAUCUAUUGGAGGGCAAGUCUGGU
rnacentral:rRNA from 1 species